AAGAAACAAUAAAAUUAAAAAAAAAACAUAUUUAGGGGGAAAUAAUAAGAAUUCUUAAGUUUUUCCUAAUUCAUUCAUUCAUUCAAAUAUUUUGUGUGUGUGUGUAUGUGUGUGUGUGUGUGUGUGUGUGUGUGUGGUGCUGGGAAUUUGAACCCAGGGCCUUGUGCAUGAGAGGCAAGCACUCUACCAACUGAGCUAUAUCCCCAGCCCUCAAAUAUUUCUCUGGUGCCUAAAAUGUAACAGGUAUGAGAGAUCAAAGACUUGAAUCUUA
rnacentral:sRNA from 1 species